rnacentral:rRNA from 1 species
GACGAACGCUGGCGGCGUGCUUAACACAUGCAAGUCGAGCGGAGCGGCGAACGGGUGAGUAACGCGUGAGUAACUGCCCCCCUCUCUGGGAUAACAGUUGGAAACGGCUGCUAAUACCGGAUAGUGGGGGAUGACUCGCGUCCUAUCAGCUUGUUGGUGGGGUAGUGUCCUACAAAGGCGACGACGGGUACCCGGCCUGGGAGGGCGACCGGCCACAUUGGGCUGAGAUACGGGCCAGACUCCAACGGGAGGCAGCAGUGGAGAAUAUUGCACAAUGGGGUAAGCGCGGAGACAGCAACGCCGCGUGCGGGAUGACGGCCUUCGGGUUGUAAACCGCUUUCGGCCAUGACGCGGUAGUGGCAGAAGAAGCACCGGCUAACUACGUGCCAGCAGCCGCGGUAAUUC